rnacentral:rRNA from 1 species
GACGAACGCUGGCGGCGUGCUUAACACAUGCAAGUCGAACGGAAAGGCCCUGCUUUUGUGGGGUGCUCGAGUGGCGAACGGGUGAGUAACACGUGAGUAACCUGCCCUUGACUUUGGGAUAACUUCAGGAAACUGGGGCUAAUACCGGAUAGGAGCUCCUGCUGCAUGGUGGGGGUUGGAAAGUUUCGGCGGUUGGGGAUGGACUCGCGGCUUAUCAGCUUGUUGGUGGGGUAGUGGCUUACCAAGGCUUUGACGGGUAGCCGGCCUGUGAGGGUGACCGGCCACAUUGGGACUGAGAUACGGCCCAGACUCCUACGGGAGGCAGCAGUGGGGAAUAUUGCACAAUGGGCGGAAGCCUGAUGCAGCAACGCCGCGUGCGGGAUGACGGCCUUCGGGUUGUAAACCGCUUUCGCCUGUGACGAAGCGUGAGUGACGGUAAUGGGUAAAGAAGCACCGGCUAACUACGU